UACGUAGGUGGCGAACGUUGUCCGGAUUUACUGGGCGUAAAGCGCGCGCAGGCGGCCCGAUAAGUCAGAGGUGAAAUCUCCCGGCUCAACUGGGAGGGGCCCUUUGAUACUGUCGGUCUUGAGAUGCCUAGAGGAGAGUGGAAUUCCUAGUGUAGAGGUGAAAUUCGUAGAUAUUAGGAAGAACACCAGUGGCGAAGGCGGCUCACUGGCCCGGUACUGACGCUGAGGCGCGAAAGCGUGGGGAGCAAACAGG
rnacentral:rRNA from 1 species